UACAGAGGGGGCAAGCGUUGUUCGGAUUUACUGGGCGUAAAGGGCGCGCAGGCGGCUUUGUUUGUCAGGCGUGAAAGCCCCGGGCUUAACCUGGGAACUGCGUUUGAUACGGCAGGGCUAGAGUUCGGGAGAGGAGAGUGGAAUUCCCAGUGUAGAGGUGAAAUUCGUAGAUAUUGGGAAGAACACCGGUGGCGAAGGCGGCUCUCUGGACCGAUACUGACGCUGAGGCGCGAAAGCCAGGGGAGCGAACGGG
rnacentral:rRNA from 1 species